GGGGAUGUAAAUAGCUUCGACGAAAAGAUAAUCGGGAAUCGAUGCAAGCCGGCUUUGAUUCACCAGCCGUAAAAAAUGAAUCAAAAUAAUAAUUGCCAACAAGGCAAAGACUCCUUCUUACGCUUUUGCGUAAAGAAAGACAUCUUCCUUGACUCUCUCUUGGUGGAGUCUUGAAAGGUGUAAUAGAAAGCCAAGACGAGAUAAUUUAGGUUGGUUUCCUAAUUGUCUAGCACUUAUCUAAACUACGGUUUCCGCAGCUCCGCGUACUCCGACCGGUUAAUUCGGAAGAAGAGAGCUAAGCUUGUAGUAUCGGCUCGUUAAUUUUUUCGGACGCGGGUGCAACUCCCGCCAUCUCCACCA
rfam:Candidatus Woykebacteria bacterium RIFCSPLOWO2_01_FTLL_41_12 rifcsplowo2_01_scaffold_119152, whole genome shotgun sequence.